CAGGAAAUCGAAAAGGUUGAUCUGCUGCAAUGGCUAAUAAAUCUUCCCCAAUUGCAGCCAGGCGUUCCUUCUUUUUCUCUAUUUUUUCCUCCUUGGUCAAUGGCUUUUUAAAUCCAAGUUCUGCUGUAGCCAUUUCUCUCUCUCGUCUUUGCGUAGCAAGACGCUCCUCAAAACUAUUAAGGAAGAAUUGGGCAGUUCGUCUAACAGCUGUCAUGUCUCCAAUAGGCACAAGGACACCCAUUUGGAUCAUUGAUUGAAGGACCUUAUCAGGAUCCUUCUCGUAAACUCCAUAAAAUGCUUCCAACAACCCUUCUCUAAUAUUUGGACUGAUACUUCCCAUCAUUCCAAAAUCAUAAAAGAUCAACCUCCCACCGUUGACAUCAUCAACAGCGAUAUUUCCUGGAUGAGGAUCAGCAUGGAAAAAACCAUGAGAUAGAAUUUGUUCCAAGUAAGAUUCAACAGCAUAUCGGCCCAACCUCUUACGAUCAACACCCAAUUGAUCUAAAGCUUUUAUUUUGUUUAUUUUGAUCCCUGGGACAUAUUCCAUUGUCAGAACCUGUGGUGUUGUGUAUUCCCACAAAAUAGUCGGGACUUUGACAUAAUCCAUAUCUUUGAAAUUACUCGCAAAAAGUUCAGCAUUAGCAGCUUCCUUGGUGUAAUCAAUCUCCUGAUACAAGACAGUUGCACAUUCAUCAUAAAUUGCUACCCAGUCCCUCUUUGCACCAUCUGACUUUGGGUCAAUCUUUUGAAGAUAUUCUGCUAUUACCCUCAGGUUUUUAAGAUCAAUAUCAAAAAGAUCCUUGAGACCAGGUCUUUGUACUUUAACCACAACUUCCUGUCCCUUCAAUCUUGCACGGUGAACCUGACCAAGGCUUGCAGCAGCAAUUGGUUCAUAGUCAAACUGAUCAAAGAUGUCAUCCAAUGGGCCUCCAAGCUCUUCUUCAACUAUAGACACAGCUGUCUCUGAUGGGAAGGGAGGAACUUGAUCCUGAAGUUCAGACAACUGAUCAACAUAUUCCUGAGCAAGAAUAUCCACUCUAGUGGACAACUGCUGGCCAAUUUUGAUGAACGUAGGACCUAAUCUCAAUAUGUUUUCCUUUAACCACUUGGCAAGGGCUUUCCGUCUCAGAACUUUUUUCUCCUCUGUCAUUCCUCCUCGAUAAGAGAAUUUCUGGUUGUUCAGCCAAGCUCUGAUUAUGAAUGUAAAAACAAAUCCCCAUAUUUCCAA
rnacentral:misc_RNA from 1 species